CCUACGGGGGGCUGCAGUGGGGAAUAUUGGACAAUGGGCGAAAGCCUGAUCCAGCCAUGCCGCGUGUGUGAAGAAGGCCUUCGGGUUGUAAAGCACUUUCAGUGGGGAAGAAAGCCUUGGGGCUAAUACCCUCGAGGAAGGACAUCACCCACAGAAGAAGCACCGGCUAACUCCGUGCCAGCAGCCGCGGUAAUACGGAGGGUGCGAGCGUUAAUCGGAAUUACUGGGCGUAAAGCGCGCGUAGGCGGUCUGAUAAGCCGGUUGGGAAAGCCCCGGGCUCAACCUGGGAACGGCAUCCGGAACUGUCAGGCUAGAGUGCAGGAGAGGAAGGUAGAAUUCCCGGUGUAGCGGUGAAAUGCGUAGAGAUCGGGAGGAAUACCAGUGGCGAAGGCGGCCUUCUGGACUGACACUGACGCUGAGGUGCGAAAGCGUGGGUAGCAAACAGGAUUAGAUACCCGAGUAGUC
rnacentral:rRNA from 1 species